AUUGAACGCUGGCGGCAGGCCUAACACAUGCAAGUCGAGCGGGGUUUUCCGGACCUAGCGGCGGACGGGUGAGUAAUGCGUAGGAAGCUGCCCGAUAGAGGGGGAUACCAGUUGGAAACGACUGUUAAUACCGCAUAAUGUCUACGGACCAAAGUGUGGGACCUUCGGGCCACAUGCCAUCGGAUGCGCCUACGUGGGAU
rnacentral:rRNA from 1 species